GUGUACCAGAGGAAAAAAAAUUUAAAAAAAUCUUCCCUUUGUUUCUGUGCCCACAGCUGUUGCAUUUGAGCAAAUCCUUGUUUGCAGGAGCUUGGGACUGUGCUUCUUUGCUGUCAUUGCUGUGAUUUCUGUCAUAUUACAGCUGUUAGGAGAAGUAGUUCUAAUGUACUGAAGAAUGUUUCUUCGGUAUGUGCAAGGAACUAAGGGUGAAUUCACGUUUAAAGCAUCAGACCAAAAUUCAGAGGGAAAGAUUUGGCUGCUCUCUUCUCUACAGACUUCCUCUGUGCCUUAGUGCUCUACUCGUGCAACAAGGAAGCAGCAUCCAUAGGGAUGUAGAGGUCCCUCUGGAUGCUUCCCUUCCCUCCAAUGCAUCGACUGCACCGCUCAGCUUGGGGCCAUCUGCAAACUUGCUGAGGCUGCACUCAAUGCCAUCAUUUGUCAUUGAUGAAGAUGCUGAAGAGCACCGGUCCCAAGACCGACCCCUGAAGGAUGUGCCUUAAUAAAUAAAAAGCUUCUAGGAAUAUCUACUCCUUGAUCUUCCCAGGCACAAGGUGCUGCAGUACUCUUGUCAUUUCCUUUGGAAUAUAUUGGGUGCAGAAGUGAUGCCAAAAGGAAGUCUGAGGAAAGAUCACCAUCCAAAAGCAUAAUAAAAGUAGUUAACUUGGCGCCAUCUGGGUGUGGAACAAUCUGCUAAAAACCAUUUGUGGCAUCUAAAAGGGGGGAAAACUCGGGCAUUCAUCUUGGAAAGAUGUUGUCCCCUGUGGAUGGGACAGUGCUUCUCUCAAGCACUUUGAUUAGUUGUUUUAGGUCAAAGUAUAUGCUGACUCAUCCAUUUUUGCUAAGGCCUUAUUACUGCUGGUAAACACUGUUCAGCGGGUUUGGCUGUUUCUUCUGUAAUGCUGACAACACUUGGACUGCAUGCUCCUGCUCCUUCCCUAGGAAGCAGAGAGCUGAACUUACUGUGACUCUCUAGGCAUUGUCAGUAAAUGCACUGCAUUGUGUGUUCGGGAGAUGAGUUUAAUGGCCCUGUUUCUUCCACUGCUCAUGUAUUGCUGUCUUUUGGUUGAUACAGGAAUGCCAUUGCUGUAUUUUACUGGCAGUUAAUUUCUCGACUCCUGGGAUGAAACUCAGUGCCCCAAGUGCCCUCUGACAUUGCAGGUUACUACAGCUCUUACUGGCCCUUAUGCUCCUAUGAGUAGGAACGGCUCAGUCCCUCAUUACUUGCUUUCAAACUGUUAUUUCCUAUGUCUCAUUUCCAAAUGCUAUCACUGUGCCUUCUCUCUUGUUUCUCAUUUGUCUUCAGGCACAGAAGACUGCUUUCUACCUAUUUGUCUUGCUCUGAUCUCUGGAAGUCUGAGAGCUUUUACAGCACAAACUACUUUCCUUCAUUCUUGCUGUAGCAGGUAUCAUCAGCGCUGGUCUCAAGCCUCUUCUGACUGUAGCUCUCAUGUGUCCUUGUGUAUGUACUUCCAGUAGAUGCCUAUCCCACCAUAGCUUAAAACAAGGGUGUGGGCUCACAGGGAAUUUAUGUGGUGGAGGAUGCUGUGCUAGUUGCACAAGUUUGGGCAUGGGUGCAGCUGGGAUUGUGGCUCAAGAGCACUACAGCCUGAUAAAGGGACAUGAUGAGAGUGAUGCUGGCUGUGACUUUUUAGUACUGUCAGAUGAUAGCUAACCAGGAGACAAGGUUCUCAAAAACACACACAUCUUCCUACCAUCUUCCCUCUCAAGGAACUCGUGUUGGAAACAAAGAAACAAACAAACAAAAGAAACCCCAACACUGUGAAAUGUCUCCCACUUCCCCCUUUCUAUUCCUGCCCAUUAGCUCCCUAUCGGUUUUUUUUUUUUUGUUGCUGGCAUGGGGCAACAUCUGUAGCCAAAUCACUUGCUCUGUGUACAUGCAAAGGCUGCCCAUUCUUUGUUGCAGGUAAUCAGGUGAGAACACCUGAACAACUGCAAUAAGAGAAGAGCUAUGACUGGGAAAUUUAUCCUGCACAGGCGGGUGAUUAGUUGUCAGUGUGCACGCUUCCAGCUGACGACAUCUCAGCCAAAAGCUAAGGGCUUUCACAGCCAAACUGUGGGACUUUGAAAAGUGAGAGCUGAUAGUGCUUUCCCUGAGCAAGGGACGUGGUUUUCAGAAAUCAUCACUUCAAAAUGAUGAUUUUAAAAGCAUCUAAAAUUGAAAACUGCUUUUGAAAGUUUUAGCUUAAACUUCUGCUGUUAUACAAAAGGCAUAACAAACUCAUUUGAACCUUGGAACUGAAAUUUUCUUGUAUCUCCAAGUCACAGAUUCACAUCCUGCAUACUUUCUUCAUAUACCUCUGUUAAGUACUUUCAGCUGGACUUGAGGAGAGCAGGAUUUGAUCACAGUUAUGCAUGUAUAUGUUCCUAUCCACGAUCAAGAAUUACAUGGGCCAGUGUAUGCUAAUACUCUACUUCUGCCUGGGGAGCAUGCAAACUGAGAUGCUCUGUUUUUAGAAUACAGAGGGAGAAACGUAAAUUCACUGUAGUCAAGUAGAAAAUGUAAGCACAAGAAGCAAAGGAAUUUCCGCUUUGGAGUAAUACACAUAGGAAUAUGAAGCAAAGGGAACCUAGGAAAUUUUAGCUAACGAACAAUGAGAUGUUUUUGUUUUCCCUCCUUCCUUCCCUCUUUCCUUCCCUCCUCCUUCCUUCCCUCCUUCCUUCUUUCUUUCUUUCCUUCUUCAUGAGAAACAGGAAAAAGUUUGGAACUCAUGCCUCCCAUACAUCACAGGGCUCUGUACGCCACAAUAAGAAAUUCUGAGGGCAGUGUGCUGUAAGUAAUUUAAUAAUUUAGUAAUUUAUAGAGACACCAAUUAUUCCUUUCUAUGUGCCUGUUCUUCACAAUUAAAAUUGCAAUUGAAUUGAAAAGAAAGGAAUGAACUUCUCUAUCCUCCUUCUCAUUUUUCCUUUCUUCCUUUUCUUCCCUCCUUCAUUUUUUUUUCCUCUCUGCCUUUUUCCCAUCUUCCUUCUGUCUUUCUGUUUCCCAGUCUUGUCUUACCUUCAUUCCCAUUUAUGAAGGAAAGUCACAUCACUUAUACCAUUGGCUGAAUCCAUGCACAUGGAGUGAGAGCUCAGUGUUCAGAUGGUGUAUGGAAACUUGAUAAAUGAUGAAAUUUAAUCAACUGCCUGAAUCCUCCACAACACAUGGAUGUUAGGCACGCAGACAUAUAAGAUAUCUUGGGUUGUCCUUGAAGAUUAUUGCCCAGGUUCAUCUGCAUGGCUUGGUGCUUUUCAUGGCAAGGAACUGAGGAAAGGGCUUCCUUUUGCUGGAAAUCCUCUUGGUCCUGUCUCCUCCAGAACAAGGGGCUCUUGGUACUUCAGAGAAAAGGGAGUAACUAAAAAGCCAUUGCACACUGUACAAUGAGCUCUUAUUUUACUGAACUCCUGAGGGUUAAAAAUCUCUAAAUAUGUGGAAAAGACAUUCUUGGUAGGGUUGUACCAUGAGCUUUCAUACCUCUGAGAUUGCUCCCAGAAUCCUUCCGGGGAUUAAUUUUCUCUCUGGUCCCUUUCGAUUUGUAUUUAUAAAAGGGGGGCUCUUAGGUCUCAUUUUUGUCACAGUGAGUGUUAAUCUUACUACUGAAGGUUCUCUCGGCACUUGUUGCCGUAUGGUUUUUUCUUCAGCACCAGUGUUAAAGUUUUGAGGGAUCUCUGAGUUCAGCACACACACCCUUUCUCACUUGAUUAUGUCUGACUGUUACAGGUUAAUAAACAUUUCUAAAUCCUAAAAUAAUUUAAGGAGGUACACGUAGGUUCAGAUAUUUAUCUGACUUUAUUUGGAACAAAAAGAGGAGUAAUAGCUAGUAAUAACGAAUAAACCAACUUGCUUUCCUAAC